rnacentral:lncRNA from 1 species
UUCUUGUGUGCCUGUUGGAUAUUAUACAAAAUUAGAAUAACAAGUAAAAAAUAAUUGAAAUAUACUUAACAUAUAUAUACAUAUAUUACCAUUACUGCUGCAUCAUAUGUCGCUCUAUCGCAUGUGAUCAUUUUCAUGUUAUCAUCCCAUCCAAAACCACUUUCACCCCGAAUUGUACAUAUAAUCUGUCACUGUUUUUUUACAGUCCUCAAAUGAUUUUCCACAUGUUUUGCAUCGCAUUGGACUUGAAAUUUUUCAGAAAUAGCUUUGACAACUCGAUUAAUAGAAACUGCUUUGAAAGUAUUAGAAGGCUUAUUUCCUUUCUGGGCCUACUCUGCUAAAAUUUCAAGAAAAAGAUGUUCCAUCGGUUUUGUCCACCUGAAUUGCUUGGAGGUCUCUUCUUUGUUGCCCUUACCCAUUCUACGUUAAUAAUUGUCAUUGUCAAUCAUUUC